rnacentral:rRNA from 1 species
UACGGGGGGGGCAAGCGUUGUUCGGAAUUACUGGGCGUAAAGGGCUCGUAGGCGGCCAACUAAGUCGGACGUGAAAGCCCUCGGCUUAACCGAGGAACUGCGUCCGAUACUGGAUGGCUUGAGGUUGGGAGAGGGAUGCGGAAUUCCAGGUGUAGCGGUGAAAUGCGUAGAUAUCUGGAGGAACACCGGUGGCGAAGGCGGCGUUCUGGACUGCAACUGACACUGAGGAACGAAAGCCAGGGGAGCAAACGGG